ensembl:lncRNA
GUGGUCGUCUCCACUGGAAAACAACCAAAGUUACUCCUACAAGAUUGUGACCUACAACUCUGCAGGAAAUGUUACCAACAACCAAACUGUUAAAGACAAUUCUGCAAAUGUACCUGGACUGGACCCAGGAACCAAUUACACGAUAUCUGUGACCACACUGCUCUCAUCUGAAUGCAAGUCCACAAAAGUAGAAGUCUCCAGCUACACAGAACCUACGAGGCCUGAUGAUGUCACUCUCAUGGAGAGAGGGACCAAUAGUCUGAAAAUUAACUGGACGUUACCUGGAGGUCGUGUGGAUCACUAUGAAGUACAGGCGGGACAGAAUAAAAACAAAACAAAUUUUCAGUGGUUUCAAUUCCUUAAUCUGUCACCGGGACGACUCUACACCAUCAAUGUAACUGCUGUCGCUGGAAACUUCACUAACUCUUCAGAACCCUCAGAAUUUGCCACUUAUCCACUGCCUCCUGAGUCUGUCACCGUCACGGGCAGAACAAACUCCUCUCUGGAUCUGAGUUGGGGGGUUCAGACUCAAAUGCAGGACGCUCCUGACAUCACGUACAACAUCACCUAUGACGAUAGUCAUGUGACAUCUGCAAACAGCACCAC